rnacentral:misc_RNA from 1 species
CCUCCUGCAGUCUGCUGUAUUCCGUCCAACUCACGUUCCUUCAUUGUGCACAAGUAUAUAUCUGGUCACGUGUACUGCUGGAGACACGGGGCUCACGAGGCUUUUUCUCUAGAUACACGGGACUACACUCCUCCUCCUAGUCCUCUCUAGUAGAGAACAAUACUUCUACUCGGAUCUCAGUCUAUAAUAUUAGUUCAGCUCAAUACUCCAUACAGAGUAGAGACGUGAGUAACUCCGAUCACGGUGAUAAUCGUUUCGAUACUGACAUCAGUAUUGUUGAUAAACAUUGUGUGUACUGUAGAGUGUGUACUGUAAAGUGGCUUUAGCCGGAUUUCCUACUUAAUCGUGGUGUACCGACUACAUUUAGUACACAAUCAGAUUACAGGGCUGUCCUUAGCUCUGUUAAUUUGUUUAAUUAGUGUCAAAUUCAAUUUUUCAGGUUUUCUCCCUCGAUCUCCAUCCCCCGUCAAGUAACUAUUAAAAACAACUAAAUUAAUUGAUUCAUGAAAGUGUACUUAUUUACAUUUUUUUCCAAGCCUAGCAAUUAAACAUUGUUUUUAUGAAAAUAAUCAAAGAACUCAUGAUAUUAGAAGUUGUUUUACCGUAAAACAAAGUAUUUUUCGAUUUCUUUAUUUAUCUUAAACUUUAUUGACUUCCGAUUUCAGCAGUUCAAAUUGUUCGCUUCUUGUACUCUUGCAUCCUGUACUUUCAGCAGUAAGUUUUUAAUAGUACAGUAGGCCCUGUACUUCUUAAAGUAAGUGUUUUUUUGUACAAAACCUGUACAACCUAAAGUAAGUGCACUGUAAAACAGAGUUUCGAGCUCUUAAAGUAAAGUCACAGCUUUUCCUGUACUUCUUAAAGUAAGUUUUUGUUAAGUACCCUAGUCUACGUUCUAAAGUAAGUUGUUAAUGUAUGGGGAGUAAAAAUUAAAUACCCCCUAAGUCACAAAAAUAAAAGAUCAUUUUUGCAUUUAAUUAUAUCUAAAGUUUUAAUCUUUAAAAAAAACAAGAAAGACGAUCUUUAUAUUUGUGAAAUAAAUGUACUGUGUCUUACUUCCUUCUGUACAUGUACCGCGUUACAGUGAGUACAUAAAACGUAGUCUUUGACCUGAAUUGUGUACGUACAAAUUAUUGCAUGCAAUCGUGACUAUAUCACCGUGAAUCAGUAUCUUAUGUACAUUCUAUGUACAGUGAAUAGUGAUAGAUUAAAUUCAUAUGUGUCACUGCCUAGUGCUUUAUUAUGGCUGUUUUUAUAAAUCUUCAAGUUCAUAAAAGGAACAACUUCUGUUACAGAUAAGAGGAACUGAACAAUGUCAGACCCUUGCGAUCAACCCAGCUUGCCACGAGCGGAAAGGUCCCCAUACCUGUCAGCCAAUAGUGUGGCGCACAUGUACGCCAUGGGUUGCGCCGGCCCACCUGACCUACAGGAUAAUUCAGGCUCAAACUCCGCGCCAAGAUUAUCUGUAAACUCUUCAGACCAGGGUCGACGAAUGAACAUCUCCGACCAAAUAUCCAACAAUAAUAGAAGGAGUAAUAUCCCUGACGACCUGGCGUGCUUUCUACAAAAACAAAAUCAACGUCAGGCUCGAAUGGAAACCACAAUGAGAUCCUUCCCCAGCUGUAGCGAUCAGGAAACUGAGAAACCGGAUCUAAAAAGAAAAAGAACCAAUCACGAGGAUCCGCUUUCACACAAAAUAAUAGAAAAAAGGAGAAGAGAUCGCAUGAAUAGUUGCUUAGCUGAUUUGAGUCGAUUGAUCCCCUCCACAUACUCUAAGAAGGGGCGGGGAAGGAUCGAGAAGACGGAAAUCAUUGAGCUGGCGAUCAAACACAUGAAGCAUCUUCAAAACCAUAUUUGCCCGAAUCAAGAAAAUUCGACAGUGGCAACAGAGCCGGAGACCGGAGUUGUAAACAAAUCUUCCAGCCUCGAAUCUUUUAGGGUUGGAUAUCAAGAGUGUUUGACGGAGAUAAUGCACUUCCUCGUGGAGAAGGAAGGGUUGUACUCCGAGGACGGAUUCUGUGUCCGAAUGCUCACACAUCUCCAGAAACACUACGAAAAUCUGGGACGAGCGAGCACAUCUGAACUCCACAAUAGCUCCAACCAAACCUGGAGCGGAACAAAUCUCCCCUCAUCUAAUGCGAGAGAGGUUCAAAAAGAUGAAGAUCUAGAAAAUUCUGAGAACUCUGAAGAGUCUGGAUAUAGUUCUAACAAACCCGAUGAGGUUGUAAACCUCAGCAUGAAUUCCAGCGAGGAGAAAAUAAAUCAGCUGUAUAAAAACGAACAUGGCGGCCGGGGCUACCAAAACGAACAUGGCGACGCGGCACGUGGGUAUCAAAAUAAAAAUGGCGGCGAAGAGAUGAAAGCUAGAAGGAUGAGCGAAUCUGAGAAUAGUAUUAUGAAGAAGGAUAAUCAAAGAAACUUCUUUCAUCAAAGAAGUGAGGAAAGGAGUUUAAUAUCAGGACAAGGAUUAGAAGAGCGCAGAAGAACUGUAGAAGAGGAGAUCAGGAGUCAGAGAGGAAUUUGUGGCAUUGAGCCGGAGUAUAAGUCCCUACCGGAGCAAAUGGAUACCAGACUACGCACUGGAAGUGGAAUCAUUGAUACAGAAUGCCCCAAAAUGACCAUGGAUUCUAUGGACUGGGAACAGCCCAAUGAUCUGUCAAGGAAGGGAAGGGAAUCUGAGUCACAAAAUGGAGGUUACAGGCAGUCAUAUAAACAUAAAUCAACGUUGCUUCAUAACUUCAACCAAGCCGAGAGGGAGUGCAGGGAGCGGUUGCAAAAGAGACAAGAAGAUCGAGCUUUCGCAGAAACCAAGGCUAAAUCCUACUCAAGCUCCCACCCUGAGCAAAGAUCCUAUCAUGUUCAGGUUAAACCAGACCCGGAGCUCCUUGCUCAUCCUUCCUCAACUAGUCAUAUGUCAACAUUUACUGCUGAACCUGCAAAAGCCCUUCCUUCCCAAAGCAUUCCAAUCUUUGCUUUAAAUUCAAAUGGUUCGUAUUAUGUACCAAUGAGCGUUGAUAUCUCCGUAAUCCAUCCGUACAUGAACCUGUACAAGGAGGAAACCUGCCCGAUCCUUCAUCCUGUAACAAUUUCCGUAAAUUUUCAGCCAGCGCAUAUUGAGCGGUCAGCCUCCAAAGCCAACCUUGGGGUCAUUCAUCAACAGCAGUCGGUCAUUAAACAUUGGCGCGACCAACCUUGCUUGUGAAAUUCGUCUUCUAUCAGUGUUCAAACAAAUCCGCGGAAAUUAUCCAACUUAGGGCAUUGAUCUCAACUGUAUACAGGACUGGUAAAACAUUCAAUCCAUCACUUUUGCUGAAGUAAAAUUAAACCGUUCUCAAAAUUAGAGAAAUCUUUUUACAUACAGGAAAUGUCAGGUGUUUGGUUAUUUUAGGAUGGUUUAUUUCUAUGAUCCAAAGGGGUUAAAAGAAAUGUUUAAGAAGAUUUCUUAAAAUUAGAGAUUCGGUAGAAAACUUUAUAUUGUAUUUGUAAUACUGGUUUUUGUAAACUACAGUCAUAUUGUUAAACGUCUAUUUUACCCAAUUCAAAGGAUUAAAAAACUCUUAGUAACUGAUUGUCCUUAUCCCUUAAACACUACGUCGACCAAGAUUUGAAAAUUAGCCUUUAAUUAGAAAAAAAAAUAAGAAAACUGGUUUAGAAAUUUCCAUACCAAACCAAUUAAAAAUGGCCGCCUGGUGAAAUUUCGCAAAAUUCAAUUGGAUUUCUCCAACCCAUCAAUGUACCUGCACUGUGUAACAUAUAUCUAACUUGUAUUUUAAUUGAUUUAUGGAUUAUUUUCAAAAUUAUAAAACAAAUUGUUAUGUAUCUAGUGUUAGUAUCAGUGAUUGGCCUGAAAUAUUAUUUAUUCAAAUAUAUAUAUUCGUGUUAAAAAAA